rnacentral:rRNA from 1 species
UACGUAGGGUGCGAGCGUUAAUCGGAAUUACUGGGCGUAAAGCGUGCGCAGGCGGCUAUUUAAGCUUGCUGUGAAAGCCCCGGGCUUAACCUGGGAACUGCAGUGAGGACUGGAUGGCUGGAGUGUGGCAGAGGGGGGGUGGAAUUCCACGUGUAGCAGUGAAAUGCGUAGAGAUGUGGAGGAACACCGAUGGCGAAGGCAGCCCCCCUGGGGCUAACACUGACGCUCAGGCACGAAAGCGUGGGGAGCAAACAGG